rnacentral:rRNA from 1 species
CUACGGGCUGCACCAGUGGGGAAUAUUGCACAAUGGGCGCAAGCCUGAUGCAGCAACGCCGCGUGAGGGAUGAAGGCCUUCGGGUUGUAAACCUCUUUUAGCAGGGAAGAAGCGAAAGUGACGGUACCUGCAGAAAAAGCACCGGCUAACUACGUGCCAGCAGCCGCGGUAAUACGUAGGGUGCAAGCGUGUCCGGAAUUAUUGGGCGUGAAGAGCUCGUAGGCGGUUUGUCACGUCUGCUGUGAAAAUCCAAGGCUCAACCUUGGACUUGCAGUGGGUACGGGCAGGCUAGAGUGCGGUAGGGGAGAUGGGAAUUCCUGGUGUAGCGGUGGAAUGCGCAGAUAUCAGGAGGAACACCAAUGGCGAAGGCACAUCUCUGGGCCGUAACUGACGCUGAGGAGCGAAAGCGUGGGGAGCGAACAGGAUUAGAUACCCUAGUAGUC